AUUGAACGCUGGCGGCAGGCCUAACACAUGCAAGUCGGACGGUAGCACAGAGGAGCUUGCUCCUCGGGUGACGAGUGGCGGACGGGUGAGUAAUGUCUGGGGAUCUGCCCGAUAGAGGGGGAUAACCACUGGAAACGGUGGCUGAUACCGCAUAACGUCGCAAGACCAAAGAGGGGGACCUUCGGGCCUCUCACUAUCGGAUGAACCCAGAUGGGAUUAGCUAGUAGGCGGGGUAACGGCCCACCGAGGCGACGAUCCCUAGCUGGUCUGAGAGGAUGACCAGCAACACUGGAACUGAGACACGGUCCAGACUCCUACGGGAGGCGGCAGUGGGGAAUAGUGCACAAUGGGCGCAAGCCUGAUGCAGCCAUGCCGCGUGUAUGAAGAAGGCCUUCGGGUUGUAAAGUACUUUCAGCGGGGAGGAAGGCGAUGUGGUUAAUAACCGCGUCGAUUGACGUUACCCGCAGAAGAAGCACCGGCUAACUCCGUGCCAGCCGCCGCAGUAA
rnacentral:rRNA from 1 species